CAAGAGAUCAGGUUGUAUAAAAGGGCGGAGCUCCUGAGAAAGCUUCCUCUUGGAGCAGCUUCUUCAUUUGCUGACCGCUCAUGCUGUUUGCAGUCUGACUGGCAGAGGUCUCUGCAUUUAAAGUCCAACUUUAGCUGCUAGAAAUGCGGUUUCGUGGCUAACCUUCAAAGGUCUCAUUUGUUUUUCCAUUUCAGCUGUUUUUGGAGUUUGCCUUGGAGCAACAACGACGGAGUCGUCUUUCCUUUUCCUGAACAAGCGCGCAAUUGCAGCAAGGUUCACACCUCGGCAUUGCACAACCCUUCGGGAAGUUCGUUUCAGUCGUGUGGAGCACUAAAACAGCAGUGAUGAUCAUCAGACUCGGCAGACUGACUCCUGGAUACUUCCGCCUUCUGCAGAGGCAGGUAGCAGGAGAGGUUCAGGCCCCGGCUCACGACCGCUCCGUAAACCAGAUCGCCAUGAUGCUGGCCAUCAUGGGCCUUAGCAUGUCCUACUACAGUGCCAAACAGAUGACCGAGAAGGUCCACCAUGAGCCCGCCCCGUGAAGAUGCGCUCCUGUCCUUCAGAGUGACGGCAUCCGGAGAAGACGAUGUCAAACGGAAGAUGCAGUU